GGGAGUCGGCCGGCGCCAUGUGGCAGAGCAUCGGGCUGACCUUGCUGGUGAUCGUGGCUACCCUGGCCUGCGUGCUGCUCUUCAUGCUGUGCGGCUGGUACGUGGUCUGGCAAUUGUUUUUGUCUAAAUUCAAAUUCCUGAGAGAAUUGAUAGGUGAUACUGGGUCCCAACAGGGAGACAAUGAGCCUUCAGAGACUGAAGCUGAACAGGAGACUCCACCCUCACCUCAGAGAGGUAGACAGAAAUCCGCUCGACAGCGAAGGGCAGCUGCAGAAGAGACAACUUAAAGUACUCCGUUGAACUUCUCACUAACUAUGAAUGGUUAAGCACCUCUGCACUGUGUCGUUCAGUGGUUUGAUCUUACUGAAAAACUGACUUAAGAGUAAUAAGCGGUUGCUCCUGUUUUCUUUGAGAAUGAGUUAUACAGCUGUUUUGACAUUGCACGUCAGAAUGAAGAGCUCCACUUCUGUUUACCUAGCAACUCUGAAGAUCGAUGCUUGAGAUCUUUGGAAAGAGGAGGAACGUGUGUGUACCACCUCUGAUGUGUGUAUGAGAGAGAGCUACCAACAGGUCUUGUCACGAACAGCUUCAGUUUUCUCUCAAACCUUGGAUAUGUGGUGGUGUUUGGAUCAUUGUUCCCUGUAUAAAAAGUUAAACAGGACUACAAAAUUGGUCUUCUACUUUCAGCUGUUAAGAAGUUUAAACCUAUGACUUCCAAACUUGUGGUUUGGUUCAAUUAUAUGGCUAAAAGCAGCAACAUUUAGCUUUCUCAUCGAGUAGUCUUGCGUCUGGGAAGAGAGCACUCUUUUAGCGCCUUUGUUUUAAUUUGUCACCUGUGAAUACUGUUCAAAAGCUAAUGAGAGUGUUCACUUCCUAAAAUGAUUUGGAAGUUUCAGUAUUAAAAUGUAUAAGAUCAGACCUGACCUUCCUUUGGAGUCUAAAAGUCUUUGUUUUGUUUACUAGCAUGUAUGUAUAAGCAUGCUUUGUAUUACAGGGUUACAUCUUCAAGCAUGAUUAGGCAGUGCUAUGCACAUAUCCUUUAAACACACGUAGAAAUACUGAUAGUCUCCUUCCUCUAGCCUGUCUGCUGGCAAGGGAAUGUCUAAUAAUGGUUUGGUUUUUUUAAUUAGUAAAAUUCCAUUUAUUCAAACUGAGCAAAAGCAAUCAGAUUCUAUUCCCUGCUGCUUUCAGUUGUUUGCCUUGCACAACUUAGUAUCACAAAAUAUUGUGUCUGUGUGUCUCUUCACAUGAUGAGACUUUCAGUUUAGCAGUGCUAACCAAGUACUGGUACAUUUUCCUUAAACACCUUUAGCAUCUUUUUCUUGAGCUUUGCUAAUAUAGGCUUACAAAUAAAUUUUUUUUUGUACUGACAUAGGAUACUGACACUCGCUGCACUCCACUUUUACCUAGACUUUAGCACACAGAAGAUGUCAAAAGGCUGAUGCUUGUAGUAUCCCUGUUACUAAGUAACUGUUAACUCAGUCUCUGCUUCUAGUAGCUGUGAAGAAAUGUGAAGUUACAGCAAUAUACAUAGCUAGUCAGCAUAGUUCUAAAGGUGCAAGAAUCAAGACUCUGGAGCAAGAUAAUGAAGGAAAAACCCAUGUGGGUUUGAGUGCUGACACUGAUCAAAUAUGCAAUAAGAUGGACGUGGAACCUCUGGGUAGCUCAUCUGCUCUAGCCAAACAACUUCCUUCUCCCUUCCUUGCUGUAUGUAGGUGUACAUUUCACUCCCCAAAGUAAU